rnacentral:lncRNA from 1 species
GUACAUCUAAUCGAAAGGUCGUUAUGUGCAACCCGGACAGUUGUACAUGGCUGGUGGUCGGGUAUCUCUUGCAGGAUGUAAUUCGGUCCGGAUCGCCGCAAUUCUCGGAUAUGAAUGCACUUGAUCAUUGCUUAAGCAUCGUAGUGUAACAAAGAGAAGGGAACCGUUGCUUUCGAAUAAAUAUGUUGUAUGACUUAGUUCCAUCUGGUUGCUAAAAUAUUUUUUUCAUCAUAUAGACUGAUCAGGUAACAAACUCAAUCUGAAAUAAAAAGAUAAAACUAAGGUUUCACUUAUAGUAAGCUCUUUUUGCAAAAUGUGAGUCAGCCAGUACACCAUAAAGCUAUCAUACAGGGUGUCAACUUUAAUUAUAUUGGUUAGACGGGUCAGACUUGCUGAGUACUUCGUACUCAGGGGAUCCUUUGUUGUUGUUUUCAGAAACGCAGCAGGGACCCAGCGAGGAGGAAGCACCGAAGAACUAAGGUAUUUUAUGAGUCUCAUGAUACCCUAGAAUAAACUUAGAUGUUUAAUUACUUACCCCGGACU